rnacentral:rRNA from 1 species
AAUAUGGGGGGACCAUCCUCCAAGGCUAAAUACUCCUGACUGACCGAUAGUGAACCAGUACCGUGAGGGAAAGGCGAAAAGAACCCCGGCGAGGGGAGUGAAAAAGAACCUGAAACCGUGUACGUACAAGCAGUGGGAGCCUCUUUAUGGGGUGACUGCGUACCUUUUGUAUAAUGGGUCAGCGACUUAUAUUCUGUAGCAAGGUUAACCGAAUAGGGGAGCCGAAGGGAAACCGAGUCUUAACUGGGCGUUAAGUUGCAGGGUAUAGACCCGAAACCCGGUGAUCUAGCCAUGGGCAGGUUGAAGGUUGGGUAACACUAACUGGAGGACCGAACCGACUAAUGUUGAAAAAUUAGCGGAUGACUUGUGGCUGGGG